UACGAAGGGGGGUAGCGUUGUUCGGAAUCACUGGGCGUAAAGCGCACGUAGGCGGACUUCUAAGUCAGGGGUGAAAUCCCGGGGCUCAACCUCGGAACUGCCUUUGAUACUGGAAGUCUCGAGUCCGAGAGAGGUGAGUGGAACUCCUAGUGUAGAGGUGAAAUUCGUAGAUAUUAGGAAGAACACCAGUGGCGAAGGCGGCUCACUGGCUCGGUACUGACGCUGAGGUGCGAAAGCGUGGGGAGCAAACAGG
rnacentral:rRNA from 1 species